rnacentral:lncRNA from 1 species
ACUCAAAGCAGAUUCAAAAGGUCACUGGGUUAGAAGUGUAAGGACCAGGAGCAAUGAAGUUCUCAUCAUCUUCCUUCAAGAAAUGCUUAUCUGGGCUUAAAUCCUCCAUCUUUAGCAAUGAAGAAUCUGGCAGCCUGAAUAGAAUACAGAGCUGUGAGAAAUGCCAGCUCAUUGCCUCCAUUGCCCAGUCUAUAUAGUUCACUCAUCACGUCACCAUAACUGCAGUAAUGGAGAUACUCACAGGCUUUCAUCUUCUAUUCUUGUCCCAGUGUUUAUGAAAGGAAUGGGAAGAGUGAAUAUGGAUCAGACACAGAUAAACCAGCCUGAGAGACAGGCCCUCGUGCCUGUAAUCCAAACCCACUUACCCAGAGCCUAAGUUUGGUAAAUGAGACCAUCAGUUAUUCCUAGAAAAGCUGCAAGGACAGGAAGAAGCAUGCACAUUCCAAGACCACUGCAGCUCUGAAAGGCCCCUCUUCCCAAAGCUACGGCAGGUCUCUCACCAUUUUCAGACAGCAGGUCACUAUGAAUUACUAAUUAUCAAAGCAGGCAAGUCAUGUCCGUUGUUGACCUACUGUGUGAGCUGGGCAGAAAACCAAAUCUGUUCCCACUGCACUGACUCAGGCUGUAAAGUGAUGUAAAUGUAAAAUAUGUGCACUGAAGAGGUUUGAAGCUUAAUAUAGAUCUUGUUAAAUGUUCAUAAAGAAUACUGAAGCCCUUAGAUUAAGAGGUACACCAGAGGAGAGUGAUAGGGUUAUAAAAUCCAUUUUUGCAAAUAACUCAUAUUUAUAUAGUGCCUUUCAGCCUACGGAUCCCAAAGCCUUUUUCCAGCAUAACACCCUGAUAUACUGUGUGUGCUUCACCUACCAGUUCAAGGCAACCUCCCCUCAAGUGAAAUGUGGCAGCUAUGUAAUAGCCCCGAGUAGUAGUAACUUUAAUAAUAGCAAGGCAUUUAUAUGGUCUUACAAACUUCAGAGAGUUAAUUCCCUGCCCCUUCAGGAAGCAGACAAGGUUUAUUAUUCCCAUUUCACAAAGGCAAUAUAACCAGAGUGGACAAGAGUGGAGAAAAUCUGCACUCGCAGAGAUUUAUAAAGUGAAAUUCCAUGCAUGAGCCUAAAGUGCUUUUAAUUCCACGUAGGGAAAAACAUAUCAACACGUCUUAUUAAAAAAGGAGUCCUUUACUAAAAAUAAUGAUGUGGAGAGAGCUCUGAUCUGGAUUCUAACACCUGCCACUUCAGCUGAAUAAACUGCCUCCUCAAGCACGUGUUGACAUAGAAACAUCAUGGUCCACAAAUGCUUCUGUGCCAUGAAACAAAUUGGGCGCUCAAAAUAUACUGCCAAGAAUCAGACAAUCUGUUUUAAGAGGACCCAAGAGUUAGUAAAAACCUCUUGAAAUAUAGCAGGAAAGAAAGCUGCAGCAACACCAAUCUCCGAGGCAGACUGGCAUUGUUCUUGCAGCUUUACAGUUCUUUUCAGCCCACCUGCACUGCACUGCAACGAUGCUUUCAACAAGGGAGAAAACUUGAUUUUGUUACCCCAAAAGGUUCUGCAAAACGUUCCUGAAUGUGGAGUCCUUCUUUGUAUGCAUAGGAGAAGAAAGGCACCGAAUCAUCAGGAUUUCACUUCUUCUUUAGUGAGAACUGGAGUCCUGUCCCCAGGUCAUAUUACUGUUCCUGUAUUUUUUACUCAGCAGUGGUGAAGAGGAAAAAAGGAGCGUAAAAGGACUACCUUACCCCUGGAAUCUCAAACAUCUUUUUAAUGAUGGCACUGAAAAUCCUCCCAGCUUUCAUUCUUCCCGCUCUUACCUACCAAGGACUUGUCCUUUUGCAACUUGAGCAAUUAUUCACAGCCUGAACCAGGAAACACCCUCAUCUAUACAUCCCUUUGCUCCCUAGGACUUUGCUUAUCUAGCUCAGAUUACGUGAAGUCGCUGCGAUCUCCCUCCAGCCACAGCAGGUUUUCAGUGGGGCUCCAACCACGUUUUUAGCCACUGUGACAACUCCCAGCCAUCUGCAAAGGGAUCUGCACCACUGCUUGUCCUUCCAGCACAGCCACACCCUGCCGUCACUCCCACAGCCCGGCCUAUGCCAGGGGCAGGUGGAGGCUGAGCCGUGACAUCUGUGCCCUGCAGGACCCGGGGAUGAGGUGCAGGGAGGCAAAAGAAAUGAACUGACCCAUGCCGAGCAUCAUCAACUCUCUGGCAAAGUGAUUUCCAUUCACAGUAGCACAUUUGCUGGAGGAAUCAUUUCCCAUUCAUCACUGCAGCUAUUGGAAUGUAACUUUGCCAGCCAGGGCUCGGCCUCUCUUUCCAAAACACCCUCAGUGUGCUAUAUAGCAUCUUCACGAUGCGCCACAUGGAUCAGUGCUCCUGCCUGACUCACUGACCUUCUUCACUUCACAGAAGCUGCUUCCUUUCAUCUGUCUGGCUUCGUUUCCCCCGGAGAAGCCUGCACUUCCACAGUCCCACUGCAGCCUCCGGAGGGAAAGGGUGUCUGGGGAAUAAAGGACAUCUUUAAUGCUCUCCUCGCUACCUUUUAGGCAGGCCUGGUGCCCUCCAGCACCCGAAUGCCAAGAAAGCAGCAUCAUGCAUGGGAAGUCACGCAUUCAGGGAAGUUUUAUGAAAAGCUAUUGCAGAGCUAUACAAACGCUGGCAAACACACCGUGGCCUGAACUCAUAGCCUGACCCUCAUUUAGGCACGUGGACAAGGAUACAGGGCCUAGCUUUGGUGCUCAGAAAUAAAACAUGAGCCUUUCUGACACUGUCAAAAGCAAAACCAAGCACAAAAUCAUUUCCUGGCACUGCGCUCACAGCAAAGAGCUUUUAACCUUUUCUGCUUUUGGAAUAAUUUGUUUAACUUUCUGGCAUUUCACUACCACACAAGUCAAACACACCAUCGAGUGUCUAGAUCAAGGCCCAGGGGAAAAACCUCCCUGGUGUACUUCAUGCACUUACAAAACAACAGAGAUGGUGGUGGAUGGGAGCCUCUGACUUUGCUUCCUUAGCAACGUGGAUGCUGGGAAACCGAACACAUGGCAUUGCAGGCAGCUGCUGGGCACGUGUCGCUGCUACAGUCCAGGAGAGGUGCAAUCUCAGCUCCACUGACUGACACAGCGGCAGCACAGCGCUGUGGGCUCCGUGGGCGCUGCAUCUUCCCUGCUCUGUCUGCCUGCAGAGGGCCCAGCUCUGUGGGAUGUGCUGAAGUUCAGUUUUGACCUUGAGUAAUCGGUGUAAUGAAGAGUGUCCUCAUAGGACUGAGCUACCACAUCAGGAGACUUACAAGCUUAAGGUAGCUUACAGGUCUUUAUUUAUAGCUCUCAGACUUAAGCCCAGACCCGGAGACCCAUACAUUUGGGCUUAGAGGUGUUUGAACUGGUGGAAGAAAAUGGAGAGAAACAGGAAAGGCUUAUAGACCAUACAUCUUUCAUCUCGACCGCAAUAAACCUAUUAGCUGUGCACAGGUUGCACUUCAGCAAGCCAUCCGGGACUCACUGCAUGAAUAGCCAGCCAACCAGUGGGAGGCAAAGUCAUCAUCGGCUUUUGUGUCCUUUGAUUACUGUUAUUCAAACUAAACAAAGAUUUGUGGU